rnacentral:rRNA from 1 species
CAAACCAAAGCUGGCGACCGGCGCACGGGUGAGUAACACGUAUCCAACCUGCCUCAUACUCGGGGAUAGCCUUUCGAAAGAAAGAUUAAUAUCCGAUAGCAUAUAUUUCCCGCAUGGGUUUUAUAUUAAAGAAAUUCGGUAUGAGAUGGGGAUGCGUUCCAUUAGUUUGUUGGGGGGUAACGGCCCACCAAGACUACGAUGGAUAGGGGUUCUGAGAGGAAGGUCCCCCGCAUUGGAACUGAGACACGGUCCAA